UGGGGAUUUUUGGACAAUGGGGGAAACCCUGAUCCAGCCAUCCCGCGUGUGCGAUGAAGGCCUUCGGGUUGUAAAGCACUUUUGGCAGGAAAGAAACGUCAUGGGUUAAUACCCCGUGAAACUGACGGUACCUGCAGAAUAAGCACCGGCUAACUACGUGCCAGCAGCCGCGGUAAUACGUAGGGUGCAAGCGUUAAUCGGAAUUACUGGGCGUAAAGCGUGCGCAGGCGGUUCGGAAAGAAAGAUGUGAAAUCCCAGAGCUCAACUUUGGAACUGCAUUUUUAACUACCGGGCUAGAGUGUGUCAGAGGGAGGUGGAAUUCCGCGUGUAGCAGUGAAAUGCGUAGAUAUGCGGAGGAACACCGAUGGCGAAGGCAGCCUCCUGGGAUAACACUGACGCUCAUGCACGAAAGCGUGGGGAGCAAACAGG
rnacentral:rRNA from 1 species